GAAACAUCAGGAUGCAUUUAUACGAGUUGUUUAUCUUGUGGAGACAAAGAUGAACGAGGGAAGGCCUUAUUUGCAAAUGUGGAGAGGGAUGCGGGUAUCUUUUUACAAAAUUGCCAUAGUUUGUUUUCUAUCCCUCAGAUAUAUAUCGGACGGUCUAUAUUGCAGGAUGGCAGGCACAUCAUCAUCACCAACUCGGUUUUUUAUAAAAGUAGAUAUAUCCACAGUGCCUCUGAUCGUUCCCCAUUCCCCUUAUUACAUCUGUACUCCUUCUCCGACAGACAUGGUUGAUGUGUAGGUUGAGGACUCACCUUUCCCUUUCUGCCAGUCAUCCACUCUCUCCUUUGAAUUUCGAUGGCUCCUGAUUCAUUGUAUAAUUGUACUUCUUUCCUCUUAGGUUGAACUGGCAUGGUACAUCAGAGAUAUCUCUUCAUAUUUAACAUGCAGAAAUGCUUGCCUUUUACUACAUCCCUGAGCAGAAACUCAUAUGUGGGCCCCUACUCAUGCGUGAGCCAUGAAGGAAGGAGGAUUAGUUGUUGAACUACUGAUCAUAUGGUCCCUCCUCUGAUUUAAGAUGUUUCAACCCGUGGUUUGGGAAGAGACGUGCGAUCGUAUCCAACAUUGGUGACCAGGUCGAGGGAUCUAUUCCUUUGUGCUAUAGCCAGGAAAUAAAUUGAUCUGUCUCUCGUGAAAAAUUUCUCCGGUGAGAUUUACUUUGACCUAUUCUGUACCUGGAUAGCUGGGUGAUUUUGUGGCUGCUUGCUCCAGAUGAUUUUUCCCUACAGAUCUUUAGGAUUCAUGGGCAUGUACCCUGACCAAAGCAUGUAACACGGAGCGAUCUGUUAAUGCCGUUGGCAUAUCUUCUCCACUUGGUCAUGCUUCGCAAGAGAAACUUGGAGUUAAAGGUAUUUUGUAUUGAUGAAUGCACUAGAAGUUAAUCCUGAUGGUCGGAGGUAUGUUCUUAUUCCUAUAUUGUUUUGCAUUUAUAUGUUUAUAUGUCAAUCUAAUCCACUUUUCUGUUGACACGGUACAAUUUAUGUUCAAAUAUGGAUCCGGUAAAACUGGAACGACCAAAAUAACUCAAAAAAUACUUAAUUUUUGUCAAGCAUACGGCAUUUUUAUUUUAGAAUUUAGUUUCAAGAAUGGAGAGAUAAUACUGUGCAUUUUUUUUCUGGUUUCCAGGAUAAGGGAUAGCAUGAACCUGGCAAUGACAAAUUAAUUUGUGAGCCUCCUUCCACCAAAAUCUAGUGUUGUAUCAAGCACCAACCAUAAGGGCAUGUAUCAAGCAAUAGCUCGUAAUUUGUUCUUGGAAAGUUGACAAAACUCAGCUGACAUUUUCAGUUGCUCCUAUGCAAAUAAAGCCUAAAUUCGCAUCUUUUGAUGAGAGCAAGAUUUUAUAUGAAAUGUUAAGGUAAAUUAAGCAUUUCAAUAUCCACAAAUUUGGUAUCUCCCAUAAAUGAUAGUUACAAGGAUAUCUAUUACUAUAUGUAGGCAGUGACCUAUUUCCAGAAUAUAUUUUGGGUUGGAACAGAGGUUUUAUUCUACAUCAUAACGAUGUUAAUCUGUUGGGAAUCAGGAAGCAAAGCUAUGCCUGCACUUGUAUGGUUGAUAUCAAAAUUAUCAACCCCUACUUUUUCUGUUAAAUAAGUCUGACACGUGUUUUACUGCCCUGCCUAUAAUGUGGUGUACUGAUAUGCUCACUUCACAUUAUGUCUAUGCAUGUAACCAAACCUAUCACAUAUCAUUAUACCUUGAUCUAUUAUUUUGGAUGA